AUACGGAAGGUCCGGGCGUUAUCCGGAUUUAUUGGGUUUAAAGGGAGCGCAGGCGGAGAUGCAAGCGUGACGUCAAAUUUCGGGGCUCAACCCCGUCUCGCGUCGCGAACUGCGUCCCUUGGUUGCGGGAAGGGGAGGCGGAACUCGUGGUGGAGCGGGGAAAUGCAUAGAUAUCACGAAGAACUCCGAUCGCGAAGGCAGCCUUCCGGCCCGUCAACGACGCUCAUGCUCGAAGGUGCGGGUAUCAAACAGGAUUAGAUACCCUGGUAGUCCGCACAGUAAACGAUGGACACCCGCGGUUUGGCCUGUAUGGCUGAGCCGCCAAGCGAAAGCGUUAAGUGUCCCACCUGGGGAGUACGCCGGCAACGGUGAAACUCAAAUGAAUUGGCGGGG
rnacentral:rRNA from 1 species